rnacentral:rRNA from 1 species
GAUUAACGCUGGCGGCGUGCAUAACACAUGCAAGUCGAACGAUGAAACUUUAAUGAACCCUUCGGGGAGAAUUAAAGCGGAUUAGUGGCGAACGGGUGAGUAACGCGUGAGUAACCUGCCUUACACAAGGGGAUAGCCUUUGGAAACGAAGAAUAAUACCCUAUAAAACCAUAAAAGCACAUGCAAUUAUGGUCAAAGUGAUAGCGGUGUAAGAUGGACUUGCGUCUGAUUAGCUAGUUGGUGAGAUAAAAGCCCACCAAGGCAACGAUCAGUAGCCGGCUUGAGAGAGUGUACGGCCACAUUGGGACUGAGACACGGCCCAGACUCCUACGGGAGGCAGCAGUGGGGAAUUUUGCACAAUGGGGGAAACCCUGAUGCAGCGACGCCGCAUGAUUUAGAAGGCCUUCGGGUUGUAAAAAUCUUUUGUAUAGGAAGAAAAUGACAGUACUAUACGAAUAAGGUCCGGCUAAUUACGUG